GACACACUGUAUAUCAUAGGACAGCACUGAGUGAUACACACUGCAUAUCAUAGGACAGACAGCACUGAGUGAUACACUGUAUAUCAUAGGACAGUACUGAGAGAUACACACUGUAUAUCAUAGGACAGACAGCACUGAGUGAUACACUGUAUAUCAUAGGACAGCACUGAGUGAUACACACUGUAUAUCAUAGGACAGCACUGAGUGAUACACUGUACAUCAUAG